GGACCCUUGGUGUAGGAGUAAACAUGGUUGCCUCUCACCCAGUUGGCCUGGGUUCGAUUCCAGAAGGUCCC
rnacentral:tRNA from 2 species